rnacentral:tRNA from 1 species
GGCUAGUUGGUCUAGGGGUAUGAUUCUCGCUUAGGAUGCGAGAGGUCCCGGGUUCAAAUCCUGGACGAUCCC